CGUAGUCGAUGGACAUCCGGUUGAUAUUCCGGAACCGGCGAAGAACCGCCCAUACCGAACCACGUAAUGCUAAGCGCCUGAAGUGUGGCACCGUCUUCGGAUGGUUCCUCAUGGAGCGCGCGACCCUAGCGAGUAGUAGGUAAGCAAUGGAGAGACGCAGGAAGGUAGCCGAACCGCGGCGAUGGUUGUUCCGCGGGUAAGGGUGUAGGGCGAGGUGUAGGCAAAUCCGCACCUCAUGUGCCUGAGACCUGACACGGACCCGUAAGGGGAAGUCGGUGAUCCUAUGCUGCCAAGAAAAUCUUCUAGCGAGGUUCUAGCCGCCCGUACCCCAAACCGACUCAGGUGGUUAGGUAGAGAAUACCAAGGCGAUCGAGUGAAUCGUGGUUAAGGAAUUCGGCAAAAUGCCCCCGUAACUUCGGGAGAAGGGGGGCCCAGACCUUGAAGUCACUUGCUGACUAGGGGAAAGGGCCGCAGAGACCAGGGAGAAGCGACUGUUUACUAAAAACACAGGUCCGUGCGAAGUCGCAAGACGAUGUAUACGGACUGACGCCUGCCCGGUGCUGGAAGGUUAAGAGGACCGGUUAGACCGCAAGGUCGAAGCUGAGAAUUUAAGCCCCAGUAAACGGCGGUGGUAACUAUAACCAUCCUAAGGUAGCGAAAUUCCUUGUCGGGUAAGUUCCGACCUGCACGAAUGGCGUAACGACUUCUCCACUGUCUCAACCGCGAACUCGGCGAAAUUGCACUACGAGUAAAGAUGCUCGUUACGCGCAGAAGGACGGAAAGACCCCGGGACCUUUACUACAGCUUGGUAUUGGUGUUCGGUACGGCUUGUGUAGGAUAGGUGGGAGACUGUGAAGCUGACACGCCAGUGUCGGUGGAGUCAACGUUGAAAUACCACUCUGGUCGUUCUGGAUAUCUAACCUCGGUCCGUGAUCCGGAUCAGGGACAGUGCCUGGUGGGUAGUUUAACUGGGGCGGUUGCCUCCUAAAAGGUAACGGAGGCGCCCAAAGGUUCCCUCAGCCUGGUUGGCAAUCAGGUUUCGAGUGUAAGUGCACAAGGGAGCUUGACUGCGAGAGAGACAUCUCGAGCAGGGACGAAAGUCGGAACUAGUGACCCGGCGGUGGCUUGUGGAAGCGCCGUCGCUCAACGGAUAAAAGGUACCCCGGGGAUAACAGGCUGAUCUUGCCCAAGAGUCCAUAUCGACGGCAUGGUUUGGCACCUCGAUGUCGGCUCGUCGCAUCCUGGGGCUGGAGUAGGUCCCAAGGGUUGGGCUGUUCGCCCAUUAAAGCGGUACGCGAGCUGGGUUUAGAACGUCGUGAGACAGUUCGGUCCCUAUCCUCUGCGCGCGCAGGAAACUUGAGAAGGGCUGUCCCUAGUACGAGAGGACCGGGAUGGACGAACCUCUGGUGUGUCAGUUGUUCUGCCAAGAGCACCGCUGAUUAGCUACGUUCGGGAGUGAUAACCGCUGAAAGCAUCUAAGCGGGAAGCAUGCUUCAAGAUGAGGUUUCCAUGGGGUUUACCCCGAGAGGCUCCCAGCUAGACUACUGGGUUGAUAGGCCGGAUGUGGAAGUGCGGUAACGCAUGGAGCUGACCGGUACUAAUAAGCCGAUAACUUGACUA
rnacentral:rRNA from 1 species